rnacentral:rRNA from 1 species
UACGUAGGGUGCGAGCGUUGUCCGGAAUUAUUGGGCGUAAAGAGCGUGUAGGCGGUUCGGUAGGUCCGUUGUGAAAACUCGAGGCUCAACCUCGAGACGCCGAUGGAAACCCCCGAACUAGAGUCCGGAAGAGGAGAAUGGAAUUCCUGGUGUAGCGGUGAAAUGCGCAGAUAUCAGGAAGAACACCCGUGGCUAAGGCGGUUCUCUAGUACGGUACUGACGCUGAGACGCGAAAGCGUGGGGAGCGAACAGG